GCGGCGGUCGUCUAGCCUGGACUAGGACGUGGGCCUUCCAAGGGUAAGACCCGGGUUCGAAUCCCGGCCGCCGCACCA
rnacentral:tRNA from 1 species